rnacentral:rRNA from 1 species
CCUACGGGAGGCAGCAGUCGAGAAUCAUUCACAAUGGGGGAAACCCUGAUGGUGCGACGCCGCGUGGGGGAAUGAAGGUCUUCGGAUUGUAAACCCCUGUCAUGUGGGAGCAAAUUAAAAAGAUAGUACCACAAGAGGAAGAGACGCCUAACUCUGUGCCAGCAGCCGCGGUAAUCCAGAGGUCUCAAGCGUUGUUCGGAAUCACUGGGCGUAAAGCGUGCGUAGGCUGUUUCGUAAGUCGUGUGUGAAAGGCGCGGGCUCAACCCGCGGACGGCACAUGUUACUGCGAGAGUAGAGUAAUGGAGGGGGAACCGGAAUUCUCGGUGUAGCAGUGAAAUGCGUAGAUAUCGAGAGGAACACUCGUGGCGAAGGCGGGUUCCUGGACAUUAACUGACGCUGAGGCACGAAGGCCAGGGGAGCGAAAGGGAUUAGAUACCCUUGUAGUC